GGCGACUCUACAAGCCUCACAGCAUGCACUGUUACUAAAAAGACGAUGCGUCCUCCUGGACCUGAGAUCUGUGUGAUCGUGGGAAAGCGACGAAAAACACAACCCACCUGAGGCACCAGACACAUGAGUGAAGCCAUCUUGGACAUCCCAGUCACAGCCAAACUCACUCCUGAGUGCAUCUGCAUGAUGAACCCAGCAAUCCCCACCAUGGAGCAAAGGAUCCAUCCAGUCAACCCAAAGAAUCGUGAAAAAUAAUAAAUUGUUGUUUUAAAGUUCUUCA
ensembl:lncRNA novel transcript